AUGGAUGUGUGGCCACACGAGGAUCGAGUCCGGAAUGAUGAUAUCCAAGAUAGAGUUGGGGUAGCACCAAUUGAAGAGAAGCUUGUCCAACAUCGCCUGAGAUGGUUUGGGCAUAUUCCGCGCAAGCCUCCAGAAGCUCCAGUGCAUAGCGGACGGCUAAAGCAUGCGGAGAAUUUCAAGACAGGGCGGGGUAGACUGAAUUUGACAUGGGAGGAGUCCGUUAAGAGAGACCUGAAGGAUUGGAGUAUCACCAAAGAACUAGCUAUGGACAGGGGUGCAUGGAAGCUCGCUAUCCAUGUGCCAGAGCCAUGA
rnacentral:rRNA from 1 species